CGGCAUCCCAGCCCCGCCCCGGAGGCGUUCCUAGACGGACGGUAGUACCGUGGGGCGGCUGAUAACGCUUUAGCGAGCCGCGAAGAUAGGAGGCGGGGAAGAAGGGGGACGUGUACCUCUCCCUCAUUCACGGUACAUUUACCUGAACUCAUCACCUUCCCACCCCCAUCCCAUCGACUCUGUGCUGUAUCCUGAACCGGCUGACAGAACAAUGAUGUAGACUUGACUUGUUUUCGCCAACCUGGAAUGAAGCAAAGCUCUUGUGCACCCAAGAUCUGCUCUCUGUUGUAAAUCCUGUUCAGACCUGGUCUAAUUGGUUUGAAUAAAUAAAGAACCGGAAUCUUUCUCAUCCAAACUAGUUGCCAGCAUAUUUUUAAGGCCACCUCCCUUCAAAUUUAAAAGGAAGUGUUGAAUGUACUGUCACUAUAAAUUAAAAGCCCUGGAAAUUCACACGCAAGGAGGCAUUCUUUCUCCCAGGGGCACAAAAUUGUUUAAAAUUUGCAGAUAGGGUUAUUAAACACGAAGAUCCUUUUGCUAUUGGGUUU
rnacentral:lncRNA from 1 species